CUAGCUUGCUAGGAGUAAUGAUUAGUGGCGGACGGGUGAGUAACAUUUAGGAAUCUGCCUAGUAGUGGGGGAUAGCUCGGGGAAACUCGAAUUAAUACCGCAUACGACCUACGGGUGAAAGGGGGCGCAAGCUCUUGCUAUUAGAUGAGCCUAAAUCAGAUUAGCUAGUUGGUGGGGUAAAGGCCCACCAAGGCGACGAUCUGUAACUGGUCUGAGAGGAUGAUCAGUCACACCGGAACUGAGACACGGUCCGGACUCCUACGGGAGGCAGCAGUGGGGAAUAUUGGACAAUGGGGGCAACCCUGAUCCAGCCAUGCCGCGUGUGUGAAGAAGGCCUUUUGGUUGUAAAGCACUUUAAGCAGGGAGGAGAGGCUAAUGGUUAAUACCCAUUAGAUUAGACGUUACCUGCAGAAUAAGCACCGGCUAACUCUGUGCCAGCAGCCGCGGUAAUACAGAGGGUGCGAGCGUUAAUCGGAAUUACUGGGCGUAAAGCGAGUGUAGGUGGCUCAUUAAGUCACAUGUGAAAUCCCCGGGCUUAACCUGGGAACUGCAUGUGAUACUGGUGGUGCUAGAAUAUGUGAGAGGGAAGUAGAAUUCCAGGUGUAGCGGUGAAAUGCGUAGAGAUCUGGAGGAAUACCGAUGGCGAAGGCAGCUUCCUGGCAUAAUAUUGACACUGAGAUUCGAAAGCGUGGGUAGCAAACAGGAUUAGAUACCCUGGUAGUCCACGCCGUAAACGAUGUCUACUAGCCGUUGGGGUCCUUGAGACUUUAGUGGCGCAGUUAACGCGAUAAGUAGACCGCCUGGGGAGUACGGCCGCAAGGUUAAAACUCAAAUGAAUUGACGGGGGCCCGCACAAGCGGUGGAGCAUGUGGUUUAAUUCGAUGCAACGCGAAGAACCUUACCUGGUCUUGACAUAGUGAGAAUCCUGCAGAGAUGCGGGAGUGCCUUCGGGAAUUCACAUACAGGUGCUGCAUGGCUGUCGUCAGCUCGUGUCGUGAGAUGUUGGGUUAAGUCCCGCAACGAGCGCAACCCUUUUCCUUAUUUGCCAGCGGGUUAAGCCGGGAACUUUAAGGAUACUGCCAGUGACAAACUGGAGGAAGGCGGGGACGACGUCAAGUCAUCAUGGCCCUUACGACCAGGGCUACACACGUGCUACAAUGGUAGGUACAGAGGGUUGCUACACAGCGAUGUGAUGCUAAUCUCAAAAAGCCUAUCGUAGUCCGGAUUGGAGUCUGCAACUCGACUCCAUGAAGUCGGAAUCGCUAGUAAUCGCAGAUCAGAAUGCUGCGGUGAAUACGUUCCCGGGCCUUGUACACACCGCCCGUCACACCAUGGGAGUCUAUUGCACCAGAAGUAGGUAGCCUAACGCAAGAGGGCGCUACC
rnacentral:rRNA from 1 species